rfam:Salmo salar isolate Sally breed double haploid chromosome ssa11, whole genome shotgun sequence.
GGCACUCAAUACUGUAAAGUCGCUCUGGAUAAGAGCGUCUGCUAAAUGACUAAAA